GUGGGGAAUCUUCCGCAAUGGACGAAAGUCUAACGGAGCAACGCCGCGUGAGUGAAGAAGGUUUUCGGAUCGUAAAGCUCUUUCGUUAGGGACGAACGUGCUCUUUGUGAAUAAUGAGGAGUAAUGACGGUACCUAAAUAAGAAGCCACGGCUAACUACGUGCCAGCAGCCGCGGUAAUACGUAGGUGGCAAGCGUUGUCCGGAAUUAUUGGGCGUAAAGCGCGUGCAGGCGGGAUAUCAAGUCUGUCUUAAAAGUGCGAGGCUCAACCUCGUGAGGGGACAGAAACUGGUAUUCUUGAGUGUCGGAGAGGAAAGUGGAAUUCCAAGUGUAGCGGUGAAAUGCGUAGAGAUUUGGAAGAACACCAGUGGCGAAGGCGACUUUCUGGACGAUGUCUGACGCUGAGGCGCGAAAGCUAGGGGAGCGAACGGGAUUAGAUACCCGAGUAGUCC
rnacentral:rRNA from 1 species